rnacentral:sRNA from 1 species
GGCCUGCUGCUACCCAUGCGCACGCGCAGGGACCGGCCCGGCCGGCUCGCACUGGUCUUUUGCUUUCUCUUUCCGGCCUCCCUCCUCUGUGUCUCUCUGGCUCGCGGGACCACAAUGCUCCGCGCCUGUUGUCAUUGGGAGGCGCCGUAAAGUAGGGGGUCGCUCGAAAAAUAAAAGGUCGACGCGGUGCAUGCUGGGUCUGGGAGGGGGCUAAGGAGGAGGGGCGGGGCGGACAAGGAAGAGGUCACGCGACUGCCCAAUAGGGCCUGGGCGUUAUCCUUCAACUCAACGUUUAAUGUUUUUGGUCUGUGAGUUCGUGGGUGCAUUAAAGUCAGAAAAGGCUUUUAUAGUUUCGGCUUCAUGCGGUAGCCUCCAUUUUCUUAAAUGUUUGUGGGUGUAUUUUCUUAGCUGUGUUGACCCCUGUGCCCACGAAUGGCCUCGUAUCGGGAGGUCGGCUCUGGGAGGAGUUAGCUAGGAAAGACUGGAAAGAAAGAACGCUAAUUCUAACAAUGAUCAACACUUAAGUGUCUUCUGUGUUUUUUCAAACAUCGCUAGUAGAUGUUGGGGGCAUGCGCCUUUAAAACGUUACUUUAAACCUAAAGCCAUUCAAGGAGUAUGGGUUAUUUUAAAAACAAUGUGUCAUGUGUCCCAGGCUGGCUUUGAAUUCACUCUUUUAACCAAGGAUGAGCUUGAAUUUACAAUCCUCUUGCCUCCCCCUCGGAAGUGCUGGGAUUACAGGUUGGUGGCAUCACUCUGCGGAUAUCUUUCUUAUCAAGUUACUUGUCCAACAUUAUAAAAGUUAAUAAUUCGAGGUCAUGACUCUCUAGAUCGUCCAUCCAGAUGGGGUGUAUGGUUUUAAACCUCUGUGUGGUUUCUGCGAGUUGGAUUUGGGGACAGUUGGGGAGAAGCAGAACGUAGUAACACAGGUUGUCCAGAAACAGUGCAGGGAUUAUAGGCUGGUGUACGACAUCUUGGUUGAAGUGCUCAGUUUGCAACCGAGGGCCUCAGGCAUAGUAGGCCAACAGUACCAACUGAGUGCAAGAGAAGCCAACUAGGGAAAAAUUUGUUUAGGAUUUUAUAAAGUAGCUGAUGAUUUAAUUCCAUCUUUUUGUAAGGAAGCGCCACUCAUCUUGGCUACAUGUUAUCUACCUCCGAGUUAAUGCCUAUUGUAUAUGACCAAAUUACACUUUAGUUUUUAAGUAUUUUCUGAAGACUGUAAUAAGGUAGCAAAAACUGUUUGUUUGUUUGUUUCUAAAAAGUCAGUGAAGGCUGUUGAGAUGGCCAACUGGCUAAAGGCACUUGCUGCCAUCCGUUCAGUCACCACUGCCCAUAUGGUAGAGGGAAAGAACCAAAUGCUACAAAUUGUCCUCUAACCUUCACAUGUGCUCAGUGACACACAUGUAUGUACACACUCAUGCAAAGUAAACAAAUGUAAAGAAAAUAACCCUAUUUAAAAAAAAAAACUCCUAAAAGCAAAAAUAAAAGGGCUAGUGUGUUUCUGAUUUAAACUUGAGGCUUUCAUUUGUCAGGAUUUUGGGGUUCUUGCCCUCAGCCUACUGCCUGCCCUGUUGUACUGUACUAGUGUUUUGAUUAUUGUAGGUGGUUAUUGUGAACAGCCACCUAAAUAAAACCUGUCACAGAUAAUAACAAGAAUUUACAGCUCUCACAUCUUGUUACGUAGAUGCUCAUAGACUGACUUAAAGUGAAUUCUCUAAGUACCUUUCCACAACACCCAUUCCUAGGAUAAAAAAGAGAAAAGUGGAAAUGGCAGAGAGCUGCUUCAACUUGAUAGCAUCUACAGGAGACCACAGCUAGCAUGGUAUUUGAUGCUUAGGUGGCUUCCAUAGAAGAUUCAAGACAGGCAAGGCUGCCCUUCUCUGUUGAUGCCUUUCAACACUGUAUGAAGUGUUUAGCAGAUCUGUCCUUUUUUUGUUUUCAGUUGCUGUGGGGUGGGUGUAUGUUACCUGGGGAAUUGCAGUCCCUCCACAAGCUUCUUAUCUUAGAUUCACUAAUAAAAAAAUUUAGAAUACUCAGAAGAAAGUUCACGGACAACUUUAUUAGAGUUUAAAAAAAAAAUUCUAGGGCCAGCAAGCUAUAAACCGUGGCUUCUACCUGGAGGAGGAAGGAAAAGAGGAGAAAGAAAAGGCCAUGAUGUUUGUAAGCUAUGUGACUGAAAGAGGAGAGCUAACAGGAUGAGAAAUUCCUGUGUGUGUGUGUGUGUGUGUGUGUGUGUGUGUGUGUGUGUGAGAGAGAGAGAGAGAGUGAGAGAGAGAGAGAGCACGCGCAUGUCUAAGAUUUGGCAAGUGUUAGAAGUAAAAAGAAAUUGGAAAAGUAUAUCCUUUUUUGAGUGAGAACUUAGGAAAGUAGAUAGGGUUAAUGAGGCUGUGUGGUUGUGGUCCUUAAGCAGCUAUGCAGAGAGCAGAGAGAGAGUCUGGAAAGAAAAAGUACAUAAUAUCAUUAAAGGUAUAAUUAUUUCUUCUAUGCCUUUAGCACACAAAAUGAGACUGCCAUUCAGAAGGGGCUCUGAUUCCAGCCCAGGUGGAAUCAUAGGACUAUUUAGGCCAGAAGUUCUACCUGGUUUCUCUUAAUGGGCCUUUAACACUACUGUAACACUGAUAUAUAUCUAUGGCAUUGAAUAGUCAGGCCACUUGUGAUAAUGAAACAGUCAUAAACUGUGGUUGGUCUUGACUGUCACUUGGGCAGAUUAAGGAGAGCCUGGCAGAUUAGUACAACAGCCAUCUGGGUGUGUCUGUGAUGGUCUUUCCAGAGAGAAAUUACCUGGGGAAAGACCCCUCCUGAGUGCAAGUGGAACCACCCCAUAAGGUGGAAAAAAGAAAAACCCCUACCAUAGGUACACACUGCUUUCUGGUCCCUGUGGCAUGAACUACUGUGCUCCACCAUACCAUACCUGUGAUGCUGGACUGAAAUCUGGUAUUGAAUGGGAAGAAACCUUGUGUCUCAACUUGUUUCUAUUGCAUUUGACUACAGUGGUGGAAGAGUGACCAGUAGAGAAAUAUGGUGUGGGGUCGGGGUUAGGGUUGGGGGAGUGCAAUUACAGCUGACUGUAAUUAAGAAGAACUGAUUUGUAGGAAGAUGUAGAGAAGCUAGCUGCAGAACCCCAGGAUUCUGCAGACAUAACUUCUGGCAGAGAGCCGAAGAACCUUUAGAUGGGAACAAGAUUUCUAUUUAGAAUUGGACUAAAGGCCAUUUGUAUUCUGUUGCCUAGAUUCUGUCCAUACCGUAAGACUAUGGGAAGCUAGGUUUAUUGGUAAGAGACUAGGUAAUCAGGAGAUUUCAAGGCAGCCCAUUAUUCCAGCUGUGGACUAGGCACUUGUGACUGGUUUAAACUAGUUUCAUAGUGAGAACUGAAAGCAAAGAAGCAGAAGAAGGAUUUGAAAAAUAAUUUAGUUAGAAAAGGAACAUGUUUAAAGUUAAAGAAAGCAAAGUGAAGAGAUUAGGCUCUUAAAAAGAACCGGGGGUGCCAGUGUUCUGUUGGGAGACAGUGCAUUGAAGAAGCAUUGAAGUCCUGGGUUCUAUCUCCAGCACUGUAUAAAAACAAAUUAGGCAUGGUGGUACAGCCUAUCAUCCCAGCACUGGUGGGGUGUGGGGUGGACAGAAGAUGUAAGGACUACUUGCCCAAGGACGGACAACUCCCUGGAAUGCUGGGGGCUGUUGUUUAUGUAAGGUAACAAGCCACAUGUUUUCACUUCAAUAAACGUAGUUGGUUGCUCCAACUGCCCAGGGUGUACUUGAUCACACGUAGGCAGGAAGUACGUCAGGAUGUAUGCUUGCUCCUGAUAGGAUGAGGACAGAAAGUACUUAGCCUUGUGGGUUUGGCUUUUAUAAGCAUCUGACUGACCAAAUCAGUGCCAUUCUCUGGAAAUCCCAGAUAGUCCUGGUCAGUGUCCAUCUUCCUAGCUUUAGUUGGACAAUCGUGGAUUUUGUCUUCUUGAAAGUUUCAGAUUUAACAGAGGAAUCAGAAGCUCGAGGACACACUUGGCUACAUCAUGAGUUCAAUUCAAGGUCAGGCUAGGAUACUUGAAACUGUCUUUAAAAAGAAGUCAAGUAUCUUGCACCAGGACAAGAGACACGGUGCUUUAAGGCUAUGAAAUUAUUGAGACCCCACUCAUCACAAUUGCCAGGACACAGAGAUGCGAACUAAUUGGAAAGACUUCCUUGCGUAGAGGACUGACACAGGGCUUUCUAAGAAGUUUCCCCAGCAUUCACCUCUCUGUGCUCCUGCACGUUGAGGCCAAUGCAUGUCAAACAGGCUCAGCCGCUCCUCAGGCUGGAGGCAGACAUCAUUCCUGUGCACAUGAUGCUGGCCAUGCAGGCAUACAAGAUGAAAGAGUUGCAGAAUCCUAGAUGUCAACCCGCCCAGCAGCCACCUAGGCUGUGUGAGGAUGAUCGAAUGGUAUGUAUGCCAAAGGUCUGGCAUGUGGGGAUAACCAGGGGACUCUAGGUGUUUGAUAAUGUGGACUUGCCAGAGCAUUGCCUUUGUGUCCUUGCUUCCACGUGUAUUUACUUACAGUAGUUUAUAUAAUUCUUUCUAGAAGGUCACCUUGUGGGAAGAAUGCUCUGCAGUCUGUCCGUCCAUAGUUCACAGUAAGCUAACAGCUUUCUUACACAGGCUCUCACAACAGAAGACUCCAUGCAGGCAGCUCCUUGGAGGGCAGUGCAUGAAGCAUGGAUGCAGUGGAGACUCCACAGUGUUGGCCAUGUCAGGAAGGUGUGUCUGUGAAGACUUGUGAAGACUCUUCUAAAGAUGACUAAGAGAUGGUGGCUUUCCUUGUAUGUGGGUGACACUGCCACAUGGGCUGGGUUCCAGACAGAGAAAAGGAAAAAGGAGAAAGCCCAUGACUGCAGGCAUUCUCUCCCUCCCUGCUGCUUUACCACCAUGCCAAGAGUGGUUCUGCUCUGCAGGCCUCCUGCAACAUAAUGGACUGAAACGUCCCUUCAACUUUGUGUGUGUUCUUUUUUUAAUCAUAGUGAGGCAAAAGUAAUAAGGAUACUGUGAGUAUAGCGCUCUGACAGGAAAUAUUUGGUAGGGAGAAGAGAUUUCUUCCAAAGGUUUGGGGAAGGAGAAAAAUAGUAACACGUGCUUCCAAGUGUUGCUUUGUUCAACUUUAUUUUUCUUUCAAGACAGAUUGGACUAGUAAGUCGAGUGAUAGUUGGUGAAAAUUCUAGAAAGCAACAAGAGGAUCAGGAAGGAGAUGGAGCAUCGAGACAUGGACGGUGAAGAAUAGGAUCAUGGGUAUUCGUUAGCUUUCUUCUUUCUCUGUUGACAAGGCAGCUCCAGUUACAUGUUAUUAGGGAGCCUGACUUUGUAGCAGAAUGGGAAAGAAGGGACUUAAGAGUGAGUCCAGGGUUAAGCAUGUGCUAUGGAAGGAUUGUUUGAUUCAGCCAUAGGCCCAUGAAGGAGAGACACUGCCUGCCACCCCAUCCCAGCCCAAGUUCCUUUACAGCUACUCAGGUGGAGCAGUAAGUGCCUAGAAUGAGAGUGUUGUGAAGUUACCCACUCCUUCCCCAGAGCUGACUCUAUGCCUCCUGCUCUGGUAAAGGUAAACUUUUAAAUGAAAUUCCCCUUAGAACAAAGUUUCAUCCAGUUUGAAGUCAAACCUGUUUUCUUAAGUCCUUCUCUUCUGGUCCAUCUUCCAUCUUCUCUUAUUUACUUUUUUUAAAAUAAAGAUUUAUUUAUUUGUU